CCUAAUCCAAGGUCAUGAAGAUUUACUCCUAUGUUUUCUUCUAAAAGGUUUAUAAUUUUAUCUCUGAUAUUUAGGUCUUAGACAUUUUCUGAGUUAAUUCGUAUACAUGAUAUAAAGUAGGGGAUGCCAUUAUUCUUGAAAAAGUCUCUUACCCUGGCUUUCAAGAAACCUCAUCCUUCUCAUUUCCUCUUGACCCUCCACAUGGUCCUUUCCAGUAUUUUUUAAGAUUUCUUCUCUAUUUUUAAAUGUAUUUUCUCAAAGUUUUGUCAUAGUUUAUCUUUUCUUCUCCCUAAGUACUGUCUCCUGGGGAAUUUCAGUAAGGGCUAGGCUUCAGUCAUACCUGUAUACUAAUGACUUCCAAAUUUCUAUCUCCAUCUCAGACCUGUUUGAACUCUAGUUCCUUUCAUCCAAUGCCAGUUCUAUAUUUCCUUUCAGUUGUCUCAAAAAUACAAAAAUUCAGGAUCUUCAGAUUAAAACGUGUGAUAUUCCCAUUUCCCUAGUCUGGUACCAGUUGUUUAUUGUGAAAGCUCACGACUCACCUACCAUCCUUGAUGGUUCCUUCUCUCUAACUCUCCAGUCCAAUCCAUUACUAAUCCUUCAAAUUUGUCUUCUACUCAUUUCUGAAAGUAAUCCAAACCUUUGUAGCUCAACUACAAUCAUCCUGAUGAUGUCACUUUUCUUUAUUUUCCUAGAUUCCCAGCAGAUUUCUAACAGAUCCCAACUGAUCUAUUCUGGACCACCUUGACUAUUUUCUCUACACUGCAUCCAAGGUGUUUCCAAAAUAAAAAACUGACCCCACCAAUUAAAAACCUGACCCUAUCAACAAAAAUAAACCCCAAACCCACAACACCUGAAGAAAAAACUUCUCCGUGGCUUCUGUGCAUUGGCCCUUCAGGCUUGAUCAUCUUAACUCUCCAUGUCUACGUAUACUGCCUUUUUUUUUUCCUCAAAAUGUUAGAGUACUUCCCUUAACACCAUGGACUUAAAUGCAAGCCAUUCUAUCAGACUGGUUCUUCCUCCCUUACACUCUCCUAUUUAACCCCUUCCCAUUCUGACAAAUGUCGAGUCAAAUGCUAUUCUUCCUUUUUUUACUGCUAUAAUUUGCAUAUAACAUCCUGUAAGUUUAAAGUGUACAGCAUGUUGAUUUGAUACUUUUAUAUAUUGCAAUAUGAUUACCACUAUAGCUUUAGCUAACGCCUUUAUCACAUCACAUAAUUAUCAUUUCUUUUUUUGUGGUGAGAACACUUAAAUUCCAGUCUCUUAGAAAUCACGAAUAGACAUUUUUUUCAGAGAAGACAUCCAAAUGGCCAACGGGUAUAUGAAAAGAUGCUCAACAUCGCUAAUCAUCAGGGAAAUGCAGAUCAAAACCACAAAGAGGUAUCAUCCCACUCCCGUUGGAAUGGAUUUCAUCAAGAAGACAAGAGAUAACAUGUGUCGGUCAUUCCAAACCAGCAGCCUUGCAGUGUGGAAGGUGGUAUCUUGUAGGUCACCACCAGCAAGAGACAGCGGAAUUGAAGAGCUUUGAGGGGCAGGUUCCUGGGCACACAAGAGGAAGAUUCCCUGGCAGAUGCUCCAGAAAGCUGCAGGAAGUCUCUGAGGGAAAGAGACGUGCAACUUCAUUUGAAAUGAUGAUGAACCUGACCCUGGAGAGACCUUGCUGUAAUUUGAAAUCCUACUGGCUGUGUAAAGUGUGAGAAAAAGAAAAUGAGGUGUACAGAAAUCAAGUGAUUUGUUCAAGACCACACGAGUAAUUCCUUCUACAGCAAGUAGCAGAACCCAAAUCUUUCUCUGGUUAGUGCACGAAUCUCUCAUGUUUAACAAGGAAAGCAGUGGUGGUUCUGAGUUAGUCUGUAACCAAACUACAAAUAAUAGUUGAGGCAAAAUCUAUAAAAAUAUCCCUGUGUUACUGUUGGUGGGAAUGUAAAUUGGUGCAGCCCCUCU